UGCCUAUUAUUACCAGGGCGUUGUUGUUUAAACCCUAGUAUGUGUUUCUAGUUUCUACUCCCCUUUUCUUCCAAAAUCCUCCACAAAACAGCAGCUCUCUCAAUAAUCUAAACCCUAAUAAGCACAACCUCUUUCACAGCACCGUCGGGUAACACUCGAGAUACGCCCUAAAGGGAGAAUCAAAGCUUUCGGUGUUUCUUUCGAUUCCAUACUAAGCUCGAAUUACAGAUUUCCGGCAAAUCUUCUGCCGGAUUCAACAAAUAAUUUUCAAAUCGAUAGAAAGAAGAAGAAGAAGAAGAUGAAUAAUCAGAAUCAGAAUCAACACAAUCAUCAGCAAUCAAGUGAAGUGAGACAUGAUGAUGAUGCUGCACUUUCAGAUUUCCUUGCUUCUCUUAUGGAUUACACACCUACUAUUCCAGAUGAAUUAGUGGAACAUUAUGUAGCUAAGAGUGGAUUUCAAUGCCCUGAUGUUCGAUUAAUAAGGCUGGUUGCAGUUGCCACGCAGAAGUUCAUUGCUGAGGUUGCCACCGACGCUCUUCAGCACUCUAAGGCAAGGCAGUCUGCAGUAGUCAAGGAUAAGAAACAGCAAAAGGACAAACGCCUGACCUUGACAAUGGAUGAUCUCUCUAAGUCACUACGUGAGGAGCGACCUUCAAGCACAGACUCUUCCCCGAUACUACACUCCCUAGAUUUCAGCAUUCCUCCAAUGGGCUGGCUUAAAGAAGCCGAUUGAGAGGAACUAUUGACAGCUGGAGUAACCACUUCUAAAUGUGCACGCCCAGGACUACUGCUUCUCGUAGGACAACUUAGACCAGGACAAUCUGAAGCCAUCUUGCCAGUAAUGCCAGCAUCCAAUGUCUCUUUUGUUGAGCUCACCAUGUAGGGUGCAGAGCUGACAUGAUUUGGUAAUUCCUGUGCUUCCCCAUCCCCAUUCCCAUCAUGAAGUUCCCCUGAAGGAGAUGGAUUUGAUAUAUGUCACGUGUAUAUCAACUAUGGAGUGAAUAUGAAGCACCAGGAGUAUUUUGCUGACAGCCCCUCUACUGGGACAGAAUCUACUUCGAGGGAGGAAUGAGCUUGGCAUCGAGCGAUCCAGGGCCGGCCCCGACAUACUUUGGGCAACAUAUUUCUAGGGGCGUCAUUUUUUUUAUUUUUAUUUUUUGUUAAGAUAUAAGUUUCUUGUUAAGAUGCUGUUGGGAGAUAUAUAUAUAUAUUUAAAAAAACAUAGUUUUGUAAUAUUAUAUCAAACUUAUAGAAUUAGUGUGGUGGUAUUAUUUUGGGCUCCCACACUAUAGACUUGGAUUCAAGUCUCAUCCCAUGCAUUUGGUUAGGUAUAUUAUAUAUAUCUAUAUUAAUUAAAAAAAUCCGGGAAAGCGGGGCCUUGGGAGGUCUACUG